rnacentral:rRNA from 1 species
UACAGAGGUCCCGAGCGUUGUUCGGAUUCAUUGGGCGUAAAGGGUGCGUAGGCGGCGGGGCAAGUCUGAUGUGAAAUCCCGGGGCUCAACCCCGGAACUGCAUUGGAUACUGCCUUGCUUGAGUACUGGAGAGGGAACGUGGAAUUUACGGUGUAGCAGUGAAAUGCGUAGAGAUCGUAAGGAAGGCCAGUGGCGGAAGGCGAGUUCCUGGACAGUUACUGACGCUGAGGCACGAAGGCCAGGGGAGCAAACGGG